rnacentral:tRNA from 1 species
AAGAUAGUUAGCUUAAAAAAAGCAUGUAUUUUGAAAGUACAAGUUAGGUAACUUCUUACUAUCU